AACAAAGGGUCUGUCUGUGUGUGUGAUGCUUUUGUCGGGAACAGAACAGGAAUGGAGUAUUAGAACUUAUUAGUUUUGCCUAGAGGGAUUCCCUGUGUUUUGAAUCUGAUUACCCUGUAAGGAAACACUUGAAAUUCAUUGGGAGAAAGCCUUUGGAUCAGAUUAGUGCCUAUUCUUUGACCCAAUAAAUUCAUUUCAGGCUUAGCUGGGUUAUAAACUAUUUAAAAUGGUCAUUUCCCUUGUGCCACUUGCAUCAUCAGCAAAAAUGUUGGCAACCUUCCAGAAAUAGUAACUGACUACAAACAUUCUAAGCUAAGGCAAAGCCCACCACCAAAGCAGCAUUGCCGCCAUCACCACCACCACCAAAUGCUGCACUGGGAACACUUGGAAUACAGCCCAGCUGCUGCCAUAACAAAUGUAUUUGGAAAAGAAGGGAGAGAGAUGGUUGGGCUCUCCUUGACAACUGCUCCUCUUUAUUCCUCCCCAAGAUUCAGCAUAUGAAUAACAACCUUCUCUCGCUGUCAACUCACAGUUAGACCUGUAGCACAAAUGGCAUAAUUCUGUCCUAUAAAGGACAGUCUUGUGGCCCAUUACUAGAGAUUAUAACAUUGUUAAUGAUGUGGAAAAUGCAGAAGUGUUCAAUAAAUAUUUCUGUUCUGUAUUUGGAAAUGUAUAUGUAUGCACAUGUUUUUUUGAAAGAAGCAGGAUAAUGUAGUUGUAUCAUAUGAGGAUGGUGAAAUACAUUCCUGUCCAUUAAUUACUACGGGCAAUGUUAAAAAAAAACAUCUAUUAAAUCAGUAGGCCCUGAUAACUUGCGCCCAAGAGUCCUAAAACACCUGGUUGAGGUGAUCUCUGGUCAACUAAUGAUGAUUUUGAAUAAAUCUUGGAACACCUGGAAAAUUCAAGAAGAGUGCUAAUGUCACACCAAUAUUCAAAAAAGACAAGCAGGAUAACCUAGAUAACCACAGGCCAAUUAGCUUAAUGUCAAUCCUUGGCAAAAUAAUGGAAAAGCAGAUAUGGGAUUCAAUAAAUAAAAAAUUAAAGCUUAGGAAUAUAAUUGAUGCCAAUGAACAUGGUUUUAUGGAAAAUAGGUAAUGUCAAACAAACCUGAAUUCAUACUUUGAUAAGAUUACAAGUUUGGUAGAUAAUGGUAACUGUAAGAUGUACAGGUAGAUUAAAUACAUAUAGACCAGUGGU